CUUGGGCAGGCCCAACUUGAGGCAGGCCAUCGCGCCCUCACGCGCGCGCAUCCAGUUGGCGUUGCCGCGCAGCGUGUUGAUCUCGCCGUUGUGGCCCAGGUUGCGCAUGGGCUGCGCGCGGGCCCAGCUGGGGAACGUGUUGGUGGAGAAGCGCGAGUGCACCAGCGCCAUAUAGGAGCGGAAGUCCUCGCGCUGGAGGUCCUUGAAGUACACGCGGACCUGUGCGGAUUACCAUAUGCACGUGUUCGUUCAGUGAGAGGCGCGGGGCAAGGAACCCUAUGGUUCAGUCAAGCUCCGCUGGAGGGACAAGCGCACCUGCUCCGGCGUCAGCUGGCCCUUGUACACGAUCGUCUUGGACGACAGCGAGCAGAAGUAGGCAUCGUCGUCCUUGAUGCCAUCGGCGCGCAGCGCGUACUCGAUUUGCUUGCGCAGCAGGUACAGCUGCGGGAGGGACAGGACGAUAAGGGGGCGGGCAUGGUGUUGCUGUGAGAGGCACUCGCGUAACAUGCGGGGCUCAUGUGCGGUAAGAUCCCCAAGUGAACGGAAGGAGGAGAGUGACUGCCCACCUGCUGCUCAACCUCCAGAGAGGAGCGGUUGCCGGUGCUGGUGAUGAACCACUGCUCGAUGGCCGGCUCCGUGUCCACCGCCGACUUGCCCAGCGAGCGGUUGUUGGUGGGCACGGGGCGCCAGGUGAGGCUCACGUGGCCCAGCGAGGUGGCGACGCGGUCGCAGAUGUCCUUGACCUUCUGGCGCACCUCCUCGUCCUGGGGCAGGAACACCUGGCCCGCCGCGUACGCCCCCAGAGGCGGCAGCU
rnacentral:lncRNA from 1 species